UACGUAGGGCGCAAGCGUUAUCCGGAAUUAUUGGGCGUAAAGGGCUCGUAGGCGGUUUGUCGCGUCUGCCGUGAAAGUCCGGGGCUCAACUCCGGAUCUGCGGUGGGUACGGGCAGACUAGAGUGAUGUAGGGGAGACUGGAAUUCCUGGUGUAGCGGUGAAAUGCGUAGAUAUCGGGGGGAACACCAGUGGCGAAGGCGGCCCUCUGGGGUGUACCUGACGCUGAGGCGCGAAAGCAUGGGGAGCGAACAGG
rnacentral:rRNA from 1 species